rnacentral:rRNA from 1 species
UCGGGAAUUUUGGGCAAUGGGCGAAAGCCUGACCCAGCAACGCCGCGUGAAGGAUGAAAUCCCUCGGGAUGUAAACUUCGCAAGAACGGGAAGAAUAAGUAAGAGUUAAUAUCUCUUACGAUGACGGUACUGUUUGUAAGCUCCGGCUAACUCCGUGCCAGCAGCCGCGGUAAUACGGGGGGAGCAAGCGUUGUUCGGAUUUACUGGGCGUAAAGGGCGCGUAGGCGGCCUCUGCAAGUCGACUGUGAAAUCUCCGGGCUUAACCCGGAAAGGUCAGCCGAUACUGCAGGGCUAGAGUGCAGAAGGGGCAACUGGAAUUCUCGGUGUAGCGGUGAAAUGCGUAGAUAUCGAGAGGAACACCUGCGGCGAAGGCGGGUUGCUGGGCUGACACUGACGCUGAUGCGCGAAAGCUAGGGGAGCGAACGGGAUUAGAUACCCUGGUAGUCCUAGCCGUAAACGUUGGACGCUAGGUGUGGGCGGUAUCGACCCCGUCCGUGCCGAAGCUAACGCU